rnacentral:rRNA from 1 species
UACAGAGGCCUCGAGCGUUAGGCGGAAUCACUGGGCUUAAAGCGUGUGUAGGCGGAUGCCUAAGUGCUUUGUGAAAUCCCACGGCUCAACCGUGGAAUUGCUUGGCAUACUGGGUGUCUUGAGCCAUCUAGGGGCGAGCGGAACAAGUGGUGGAGCGGUGAAAUGCGUAGAUAUCACUUGGAACGCCAACGGUGAAAACAGCUCGCUGGGGAUGUGCUGACGCUGAGACACGAAAGCCAGGGGAGCAAACGGG